rnacentral:misc_RNA from 1 species
UUUCCGUAGGUGAACCUGCGGAAGGAUCAUUAAAAAUGAAGCCGGGAAACCGGUCCUUCUCACCCUUGAUUAUCUCAAUUUGCUGCUUUGGUGGGCCGCGCAAGCACCGGCUUCGGCUGGAUCGUGCCCGCCAGAGGACCACAACUCUGUAUUAUAUGUCGUCUGAGUACUAUAAAAUAGUUAAAACUUUCAACAACGGAUCUCUUGGUUCUG